rnacentral:rRNA from 1 species
GACGAACGCUGGCGGCGUGCUUAACACAUGCAAGUCGAACGGUAAGGCCCUUCGGGGUACACGAGUGGCGAACGGGUGAGUAACACGUGGGUGAUCUGCCCUGCACUUCGGGAUAAGCCUGGGAAACUGGGUCUAAUACCGGAUAGGACCACUGCCUGCAUGGGUGGUGGUGGAAAGCUUUUGCGGUGUGGGAUGGGCCCGCGGCCUAUCAGCUUGUUGGUGGGGUGAUGGCCUACCAAGGCGGCGACGGGUAGCCGGCCGGAGAGGGUGACCGGCCACACUGGGACGGAGAUACGGCCCAGACUCCUACGGGAGGCAGCAGUGGGGAAUAUUGCACAAUGGGCGCAAGCCUGAUGCAGCGACGCCGCGUGAGGGAUGACGGCCUUCGGGUUGUAAACCUCUUUCAGCACCGACGAAGCGCAGGUGACGGUAGGUGCAGAAGAAGGACCGGCCAACUACGUGCCAGCCGCCGCAGUAA